AUACGUAGGGGACGAGCGUUGUCCGGAAUUACUGGGCGUAAAGGGCGCGCAGGCGGAUAUUUAAGUCAGCUGUAAAAGGCAUGAGCUCAACUCAUGUAUGCGGUUGAAACUGGGUAUCUAGAGUGCUGGAGAGGUAGGCGGAAUUCCCGGUGUAGCGGUGAAACGCGUAGAUAUCGGGAAGAACACCAGUGGCGAAGGCGGCUUACUGGCCAGCAACUGACGCUGAGGCGCGAAAGCCAGGGGAGCGAACGGGAUUAGAUACCCCGGUAGUCCUGGCCGUAAACGAUGAAUGCUAGGUGUGGGUGUCGAGAGGCAUCCGUGCCGGAGUUAACGCGAUAAGCAUUCCGCCUGGGGAGUACGAUCGCAAGAUUGAAACUCAAAGGAAUUGACGGGG
rnacentral:rRNA from 1 species